CCCUCCUUGAUAAUGAUCCUCAUUCAGACUACAUCAAUGCGAACUUCAUUGACGGAUACAAUUAUUCCAGAAAGUACAUUGCUGCCCAAGGACCCAACGCGGCAUCGGUUCGGGAUUUCUGGCGAAUGGUAUGGGAGGAGGACUGUUGCAAGAUUGUCAUGCUGACCAACUUGGUAGAGAAUGAUAAGAAAAAGUGUGAAAAGUACUGGCCAGACAAAAAAAUGGUGUAUGGAAAAAUUACUGUUGCCCUAGAUAGUACUGAAGUAAACACACAUUACACGGUCAGGAAAUAUAAU